AAUCAAGGCAAUGAAUCUGCUUAUCAGAAUGUGUUUCCACAGUAAUUUAGAAAUAGCAGGCAAUAGUAAUGCCAUUGUAUGAAUCUUAAGGACAACUGAAGUCAUUACAGUCCAUCAAAAUGGCUACAACA
ensembl:snoRNA